UAUCACAGUAAUUUCCAAAUAUUCCAAGCUGUUUGCAUGAGGAGAAAAUCAAGCCACAGCAGCUUUUCACACAGAGCAAAGCUGCAGCAGUUUAGUGCUUAUGUACAGCCACAGGUAUCUAUGGUAACAGCAAAUUCUAUCACAUUGCCACAGUACUCACACUUGUUCCUUCCUUGCCUUUUAUGUGAUACACUGGCUGGGACUGAAGAGUCCCACGAGAGCAUCCAGUCAACACCUCUCCCAAAUGACAAUCAAAAUGGAGUAUCCUAUCAUGCAGCAUGUUUUCCAGAGCUCAGUAUUGAGGCAGGGAACACCUGCCCUUACACCUUCUGAAAGGAUUUCCAAAUGUUAGAAUGCCUUCUGACCUUGAGUGCUGUGUUUCCAGCAAUAUACACUGAUUUUAGAAUCUUCUGCAUAUGGAAAGUACCAAGAUAAUGGGCACUUUUGAAAUAUGUCAAAGGAAUGAGGGUAUGGACAGCAGCAGCAAGGGAAAUUUAAACAAGAAAAUAAUUUUCACAGCGGCUGUGAGAAGUCGGAAUAGCUGUACCAUGAUGAAAACGUGUUGGAAUGAAUUCAUUGCCAUCUGUCUUUAUUUUGCUAACCAGCUCAAUCAGACACCACAAAUAUACUCAAACAUGAGAAAAAUAUUUAAAUUAUUUGUGUUCUGUCCUUUUUCAACAUGUAACUUUCGGUGUCAGUGUUUUUGUCAAUUUGAAUGCUCAUCAAUAGCAGUGAAUUCAUUUGUGCACAGCCUUUGGGAGUAUACCUACGCAACUUCAAAUCCACGUUAUCAGCAUAAUGCAAAAAAGCCCACAGAGAAAGUUAGAAUAUUACAAUUUUAAAGUUGUUCAAGGAAGCAUGACAAAAAAAAUACAAAAGAAACUUUGUUCCUCAUUGUCAGAGUAAUUAAAAAGCCCUACAGCUUUUCUAAUUGAUGGAUAGGGAAAAGCUCAAAACAAAAACAUCUUGUAGCUCUACCACAACAUUUCUCAUGCAAAGCAUAAUCCUAUAGAGUCAGAAGGAAAUUAUGGAGAAAGGGGACAAGAGAGGAAAGAAAAUGGACUGUAAGAAAAAUACAGAAAAUAAUGACAAACUAUCUGAAAACAUUUAACAAGAAUUAAACAAAUUAAGAGAGCUCUGCCCCCAUAGUGCUGCAGGAAUGUGCCCUGGAAGCCACCUUCUCCCUGAACCCUGCCCCUCAGCAUUCACAAGCAGCCCAGUCUCUCCUAAUCCACAAGGGCAGGAAAGGGGCCAGCAAGGACUGCUUUCAGGAGAGACAACAUUGCCCAGAGACACUCCUGGGGAGAUGAGAAUUUCUAGACAAGGUCAGCCUCAGCAGCUGCCCAGAGACAGCUCAUUUCUUUCUGCCCUUCAUACUAAAAGGCAGCCUCAACCCUUCCAGCCUGCAGUCCAAGGAGGCAGAACUAGAGCCAGGGCCAUUCCCCUGUGCACAACCUGGCCACAUCCUGGACCUGCAGGUGUUCCAUUUGCUGCAGACAGAACUCAGCAGCAGAGCAUGGCUUUACAGCACCUGAGGUAGGAGUUACUGCUCAGGAAAUGGUGCAGAAUGAAGGUUUACAGCACACGGGUGGACUCGAUGAUCUGAAGGCAGUUUUCCACCCUAAAUGCUUCCAUGAUUCUCUGUCUACUCCAGAGCUUGGCUCUGCCAAAAAAGAGGUCCAGCAUUAUAAAGGUGAAAAGAAUCCCCUCCUCCAGCAUACCACCCCACUGCUCUUCCCUCAAACCAACAGGGCAGGGACCAGCACCACACAAGCAUCAAACUCUUCUUACACACACCCACCUUCCUCUGCUCAGUGCUCCCGAUCCCGCUGAUCUCCAGCA
rnacentral:lncRNA from 1 species